AGAGUUUGAUCAUGGCUCAGGACGAACGCUGGCGGCGUGCCUAAUACAUGCAAGUCGAACGGAGUCCAUUUGGUGGUAACACCAGAGAAGACUUAGUGGCGAACGGGUGCGUAACACGUGAGCAACCUGUCCCGAAGACUGGGAUAACACCGGGAAACCGAUGCUAAUACCAGAUACCCCCUUUGGUCCGCAUGGACUGAUGAGGAAAGGAAUCCGCUUCGGGAGGGGCUCGCGGCCUAUCAGCUUGUUGGUGGGGUAAUGGCCUACCGAGGCGACGACGGGUAGCUGGUCUGAGAGGACGAUCAGCCACACUGGGACUGAGACACGGCCCAGACUCCUACGGGAGGCAGCAGUAGGGAAUCUUGCGCAAUGGGCGAAAGCCUGACGCAGCAACGCCGCGUGGGGGAUGAAUGCCUUCGGGUUGUAAACUCCUUUCAGUGGGAACGAAAUUGACGGUACCCACAGAAGAAGCCCCGGCCAACUACGUGCCAGCAGCCGCGGUGAUACGUAGGGGGCGAGCGUUGUCCGGAUUUAUUGGGCGUAAAGAGCUCGUAGGCGGCUUGGCAAGUCGGGUGUGAAACCCCCAGGCUCAACCUGGGGACGCCACUCGAAACUGCCAUGGCUAGAGUCCGGUAGGGGAUCACGGAAUUCCUGGUGUAGCGGUGAAAUGCGCAGAUAUCAGGAGGAACACCAGUGGCGAAGGCGGUGAUCUGGGCCGGUACUGACGCUGAGGAGCGAAAGCGUGGGGAGCGAACAGGAUUAGAUACCCUGGUAGUCCACGCCGUAAACGUUGGGCACUAGGUGUGGGACCCUAUCGACGGGUUCCGUGCCGCAGCUAACGCAUUAAGUGCCCCGCCUGGGGAGUACGGCCGCA
rnacentral:rRNA from 1 species